rnacentral:rRNA from 1 species
CCUACGGGGGGCAGCAGUAAGGAAUAUUGGUCAAUGGACGCAAGUCUGAACCAGCCAUGCCGCGUGGAGGAUGAAGGUCCUCUGGAUUGUAAACUUCUUUUAUUUGGGAAGAAACUCCCGAUUUCCAUCGGGAUUGACGGUACCAGAUGAAUAAGCACCGGCUAACUCCGUGCCAGCAGCCGCGGUAAUACGUAGGGUGCAAGCUUUAUCCGGUUUAACUGGUUCGUAGGGGGGCAUGUAAGGGCGUGGUGAAAUCUCCGGGCUUAACCCGGAAACUGCCAUUGAUACUAUUUGUCUUGAAUACUCUGGAGGUGAGCGGAAUAUGUCAUGUAGCGGUGAAAUGCUUAGAUAUGACAUAGAACACCCAUUGCGAAGGCAGCUCACUACGGAAAUAUUGACGCUGAGGCACGAAAGCGUGGGGAUCAAACAGGAUUAGAUACCCGUGUAGUC